UCGCCAUGUUCUGUUCACAGAGGCAAAAAUGAAAUAAGGGGAAAGCAUAUGUGAUGGAUCAUCGUUGUUAUCUACUUUAUUUUGGCUCAAUAUACUGCUGCUGUGGACAAGUUUCAAAUUAAGUAGAGCUGAAUAAGUAUUUGUUCAUGUGUUUGUGUUAUUUGUCUUCCCCUCAUCCCCCUCCUAGUUUUUGAGUCAUGCGUGUCUCAAUAGAUGGCCUAAUCUAGUUUACAAAUUCACCUUUGUUUCACUUGUUAUACUCAUUGAAUGAUUCUUGUGAAUGGGAUUUUAUUGUGCAUUUGAUAAUGAGCAUGUAGAUUUGCAUUUUAUCACUUGGAGGAUCCCAUGUGUUACAGUUAUGGAUCCAUGCAUCCAGCUUUCUGGUGCUCUUGUUCAAAUUCCUGCUCUAUUCCCUUUGAAAGGGCUGACCCCCAAAUGAGG
rnacentral:misc_RNA from 1 species